rnacentral:rRNA from 1 species
GACGUAGGGUGCGAGCGUCGUCCGGAUUUAUUGGGCGUAAAGAGCUCGUAGGCGGCUCGUCGCGUCGACCGUGAAAACCCGCAGCUUAACUGCGGGCUUGCGGUUGAUACGGGCGGGCUAGAGUUCGGUAGGGGAGACUGGAAUUCCUGGUGUAGCGGUGAAAUGCGCAGAUAUCAGGAGGAACACCGGUGGCGAAGGCGGGUCUCUGGGCCGAUACUGACGCUGAGGAGCGAAAGCGUGGGGAGCGAACAGG